ensembl:lncRNA
GACAAAGUCAAAGCACACAUUUUUAAAUAUUUAAGUCUAUGAAUAAAACAGCCCUCUUCAUUUUCUUAUUCACUACUGUUUUUUUGGCACUGAUAAUAAUAAUACUAAUAUUAAUACUACUACUAAUAAUAAUAACAAUAAUAACAAUAAUGACAACUGAAAUUGUAAAUUCUUAUCAUCAAACUGCGGUACCUGUGUGUAUUCGUCUGUGUUGCAGAUCAGCUGAAGCUAAAAAAGAAGAAAAGAAAAAAAAAAGAGCCCAGUUUGCAGACACCUUCCUCGAGCGCAGCGCUCCGAGAUCUAUCCGUUGCGCGUACGAGAGCACGCGAGAAGCAGAAGCUGAAACAACACAUCACCGAGGGCUGAGCGCAAUAAAAAGAAAGAAAAGAAAGAAAAAGUGCUGGUGGAACAAGCGGAGACAACCGCAGAUAUAUGCGGGAGGAAAGGAGGAGGAUCGAUUUAUCACGUCUCUCGCAUUUUGUGCCGUGUCCACCGGCGCAUGGUUUUUGAGGAGCUAUGAGGUCUCUGAACCACAAUGACAAUAUCACCGCCGGUAUGAUGACGAGGGGUUCAUAUUGUGAAAAUUCCCU